ensembl:lncRNA novel transcript
CGCCCCCGUCCCGCCCGCCGCCCCAGCCGCCAGGGACAUGUCUAACCUCGGAGGCCGUAGGAACGGGCCUGUCGAAGUGCGCCUGACAGGGACAUGCCACCCCCGUUUUAGGAGAACUUGUAUUUGGUUUGAGAAGGAAUUGGAAUCACGGCGUUAUCCUACCUUCACCAUUUACCCCUGAUAAAUUGUCCACGUUUAUAUUUGGGAAUCAUAUUGACAGGUCAUGAAAAUGAGACCAAAAGAUCUCUGGAAGCGAUUAAUGAUAAAAUUUCAUGGAGAAGAAGGCCUUGACUACGGAGGGGUUGCCAGGGUCUCCCUCUGUCACCCAGGCUGGAGUGUAGUGGCGCGAUCUCGGGUCACUGCAACCUCCCCAAGCUGGGCUCAAGAGAUCCUCCCACCUCAGCCUCCUGAGCAGCUGGGACUACAGGUACAAGCCACCACAGCCAGCUAAUUUUUGUAAUUUUUUUGUAGAGAUGGGGUUUCGCCAUGUUGCCUAGGCUGAUCUCGAACUCCUGAGCUCAAGUAGUCUGCCUGCCCCGGCCUCCCAAAGUGCUGGGAUUACAGGUGUGAGCCACCGCACCCAGCCAGUGAUUUAUUUCUGAUAUUAUAUUUACUAUAAGAAUUCUUUUCUAAAUAUGAAAAUUAGUUUUAUAUAAAUGUAGGAUAAACACUGUAGCUCUCUACUGAAAUGUUUUAAGGAUCAUUGUAAUUCUGCUUUCCCUAAUCUUAAAUCCAACCAAAAUUAAAUUAUGUUUUCAAUAAUUCCCAUUAA